UUCGACACACUAUCAUUAACUGAAUCCAUAGGUUAAUGAGGCGAACCGGGGGAACUGAAACAUCUAAGUACCCCGAGGAAAAGAAAUCAACCGAGAUUCCCCCAGUAGCGGCGAGCGAACGGGGAGCAGCCCAGAGCCUGAAUCAGUGUGUGUGUUAGUGGAAGCGUCUGGAAAGGCGCGCGAUACAGGGUGACAGCCCCGUACACAAAAAUGCACAUGCUGUGAGCUCGAUGAGUAGGGCGGGACACGUGGUAUCCUGUCUGAAUAUGGGGGGACCAUCCUCCAAGGCUAAAUACUCCUGACUGACCGAUAGUGAACCAGUACCGUGAGGGAAAGGCGAAAAGAACCCCGGCGAGGGGAGUGAAAAAGAACCUGAAACCGUGUACGUACAAGCAGUGGGAGCACGCUUAGGCGUGUGACUGCGUACCUUUUGUAUAAUGGGUCAGCGACUUAUAUUCUGUAGCAAGGUUAACCGAAUAGGGGAGCCGAAGGGAAACCGAGUCUUAACUGGGCGUUAAGUUGCAGGGUAUAGACCCGAAACCCGGUGAUCUAGCCAUGGGCAGGUUGAAGGUUGGGUAACACUAACUGGAGGACCGAACCGACUAAUGUUGAAAAAUUAGCGGAUGACUUGUGGCUGGGGGUGAAAGGCCAAUCAAACCGGGAGAUAGCUGGUUCUCCCCGAAAGCUAUUUAGGUAGCGCCUCGUGAAUUCAUCUCCGGGGGUAGAGCACUGUUUCGGCAAGGGGGUCAUCCCGACUUACCAACCCGAUGCAAACUG
rnacentral:rRNA from 1 species